CCUAGCGGCGGACGGGUGCAGUAAUGCUUAGGAAUCUGCCUAUUAGUGGGGGACAACGUUUCGAAAGGAACGCUAAUACCGCAUACGCCCUACGGGGGAAAGCAGGGGAUCUUCGGACCUUGCGCUAAUAGAUGAGCCUAAGCCAGAUUAGCUAGUUGGUGGGGUAAAGGCCUACCAAGGCGACGAUCUGUAGCGGGUCUGAGAGGAUGAUCCGCCACACUGGGACUGAGACACGGCCCAGACUCCUACGGGAGGCAGCAGUGGGGAAUAUUGGACAAUGGGGGGAACCCUGAUCCAGCCAUGCCGCGUGUGUGAAGAAGGCCUUUUGGUUGUAAAGCACUUUAAGCGGGGAGGAGGCUCUUCUAGUUAAUACCUAGGAUGAGUGGACGUUACCCGCAGAAUAAGCACCGGCUAACUCUGUGCCAGCAGCCGCGGUAAUACAGAGGGUGCGAGCGUUAAUCGGAUUUACUGGGCGUAAAGCGUACGUAGGCGGCUUUUUAAGUCGGAUGUGAAAUCCCUGAGCUUAACUUAGGAAUUGCAUUCGAUACUGGGAAGCUAGAGUAUGGGAGAGGAUGGUAGAAUUCCAGGUGUAGCGGUGAAAUGCGUAGAGAUCUGGAGGAAUACCGAUGGCGAAGGCAGCCAUCUGGCCUAAUACUGACGCUGAGGUACGAAAGCAUGGGGAGCAAACAGGAUUAGAUACCC
rnacentral:rRNA from 1 species